rnacentral:rRNA from 1 species
GACGCUNUUCGAUGCCUAAUNNAUGCAAGUCGAACAGAACUUCNGNACUAGNGGCCCACGGGUGCGUAACGCGUGGGAAUCUGCCCUUGGGUUCGGAAUAACGUCGGGAAACUGACGCUAAUACCGGAUGAUGACGUAAGUCCAAAGAUUUAUCGCCCAGGGAUGAGCCCGCGUAGGAUUAGCUAGUUGGUGAGGUAAAGGCUCACCAAGGCGACGAUCCUUAGCUGGUCUGAGAGGAUGAUCAGCCACACUGGGACUGAGACACGGCCCAGACUCCUACGGGAGGCAGCAGUAGGGAAUAUUGGACAAUGGGGGCAACCCUGAUCCAGCAAUGCCGCGUGAGUGAUGAAGGCCUUAGGGUUGUAAAGCUCUUUUACCCGGGAUGAUAAUGACAGUACCGGGAGAAUAAGCUCCGGCUAACUCCGUGCCAGCAGCCGCGGUAAUACGGAGGGAGCUAGCGUUGUUCGGAAUUACUGGGCGUAAAGCGCACGUAGGCGGCGAUUUAAGUCAGAGGUGAAAGCCCGGGGCUCAACCCCGGAAUAGCCUUUGAGACUGGAUUGCUUGAAUCCCGGGAGAGGUGAGUGGAAUUCCGAGUGUAGAGGUGAAAAUUCGUAGAUAUUCGGAAAGAACACCAGUGGCGAAAGGCGGCU